UGUACUCUUCUUGUUGUUGUAUAGGAAUUGCCAUAAUUUUGAGAAAUUUUAAGUGUUAAUAUUGUUAGAGAAUGUCGAUAGCAAACUACUUACUUAACAUGAGUUUGUGGUGCACAAUGAGUGUUUGUUGAAAUGUCUCAAAAGAACAACCCAACCAUCUGGUAAGAAUUCCCUGUCCAACUUCUUUCUCCAUUGAAUGAGAAACAUAAACAAACACUUGAGGUUUUCUUUAAAUUUUUUGCUCAAAGAAUGAGAUAAGAUUGUUUUGAAAGGGCGGUUGCUCUUCUCUAGUAGGCUUGUGACUACAACAUUUGUGCAGAUGCAACAACACUUUUUUUUUUUUUUUAAACUGUGGGAACUGGCAAUUUCUAUGUAUUCUUAUGCUGUGUUUAGAUGGGUAGGAAAUGGGGGCAGAAAGAAAAUGGAAUUGCAAAGGGUUCACCUUAGAGGAAACUAAAUGAGAUUUCAGAGUAGAGAGUUGGUUUGCCUGCUUUGCUAAGCCAAUGAUUUCUUCCUUACUGCAAGUGCUUCUAUUGCUGUUACUACUGAUGAUUUUCAUGAUAAAUGGGUGUUCUUGAAUGAUCGAAUAAAUGAUGCUUUUGACCCGAGGAAGAUUACACAGGAGGUAAAAAUAGUGGUAUUUUAUUUUGUGAUCAAUUUUGGUUUAAUUUCCUUUUCUUUGAAUCUUUCUGCAUGUGCUCCUAAAGCGAUUUUGACAAGAUUCCCCAUUCUGAACGUUUGAUUUAAGAAAGAAUUUUCAACUACUGCAAGCAACAUAUUUGGCAGAAGCAGUUGGUGCAAGAAUGGGUGGCUCAUUACAAAGACUUAUUAAAAGAGUGUUUUCCUAGGUUGAAUAGCUUUUGCUUGUUUACUUGAAAACGAUUUUGCAAUGUAACUACUCUACAAGAAAAUUUUGCGAAUACCAAAUUGAUGUGUGUAUUAAUAAAUUUGAUAGCGUUUCUAGCGAUGUAACAAUGUACAAUGUUAUACUUUUGUUGUUAAUUGAGUUUGAAUUUUUUAAUAUAAUAUAUUUGCAAUUA